AUACGAAGGGGGCUAGCGUUGUUCGGAAUUACUGGGCGUAAAGCGCACGUAGGCGGACAUUUAAGUCAGGGGUGAAAUCCCGGGGCUCAACCCCGGAACUGCCUUUGAUACUGGGUGUCUAGAGUAUGGAAGAGGUGAGUGGAAUUCCGAGUGUAGAGGUGAAAUUCGUAGAUAUUCGGAGGAACACCAGUGGCGAAGGCGGCUCACUGGUCCAUUACUGACGCUGAGGUGCGAAAGCGUGGGGAGCAAACAGGAUUAGAUACCCCAGUAGUCC
rnacentral:rRNA from 1 species